UUCACCUACGGGAGGCAGCAGUGGGGGAUAUUGCACAAUGGGGGGAACCCUGAUGCAGCGACGCCGCGUGGGUGAAGAAGCGCCUCGGCGCGUAAAGCCCUGUCAGCAGGGAAGAAAAUGACGGUACCUGAAGAAGAAGCCCCGGCUAACUACGUGCCAGCAGCCGCGGUAAUACGUAGGGGGCAAGCGUUAUCCGGAUUUACUGGGUGUAAAGGGAGCGUAGACGGAAUAGCAAGUCUGAUGUGAAAACCCGGGGCUCAACUCCGGGAGUGCAUUGGAAACUGUUGAUCUAGAGUGUCGGAGAG
rnacentral:rRNA from 1 species